rnacentral:rRNA from 1 species
UACGUAGGGUGCAAGCGUUGUCCGGAAUUAUUGGGCGUAAAGAGCUCGUAGGCGGUUUGUCGCGUCUGCUGUGAAAACUCGGGGCUUAACCCCGGGCCUGCAGUGGGUACGGGCAGACUAGAGUGCGGUAGGGGAGACUGGAAUUCCUGGUGUAGCGGUGAAAUGCGCAGAUAUCAGGAGGAACACCGGUGGCGAAGGCGGGUCUCUGGGCCAACACUGACGCUCAUGCACGAAAGCGUGGGGAGCAAACAGA